AUGCAAUGAUGUUUGAAUUUCUUCACCUGAAUCUCUAUGUGGAUCAAACUACACGAGCUUUUUAACCCUGAGCAUC